GGUGGGAUUAGCUAGUUGGUGAGGUAAGGGCUCACCAAGGCGACGAUCCCUAGCUGGUCUGAGAGGAUGAUCAGCCACACUGGAACUGAGACACGGUCCAGACUCCUACGGGAGGCAGCAGUGGGGAAUAUUGCACAAUGGGCGCAAGCCUGAUGCAGCCAUGCCGCGUGUGUGAAGAAGGCCUUCGGGUUGUAAAGCACUUUCAGUCGUGAGGAAGGUAGUGUAGUUAAUAGCUGCAUUAUUUGACGUUAGCGACAGAAGAAGCACCGGCUAACUCCGUGCCAGCAGCCGCGGUAAUACGGAGGGUGCGAGCGUUAAUCGGAAUUACUGGGCGUAAAGCGCAUGCAGGUGGUUUGUUAAGUCAGAUGUGAAAGCCCGGGGCUCAACCUCGGAAUAGCAUUUGAAACUGGCAGACUAGAGUACUGUAGAGGGGGGUAGAAUUUCAGGUGUAGCGGUGAAAUGCGUAGAGAUCUGAAGGAAUACCGGUGGCGAAGGCGGCCCCCUGGACAGAUACUGACACUCAGAUGCGAAAGCGUGGGGAGCAAACAGGAUUAGAUACCCUGGUAGUCCACGCCGUAAACGAUGUCUACUUGGAGGUUGUGGCCUUGAGCCGUGGCUUUCGGAGCUAACGCGUUAAGUAGACCGCCUGGGGAGUACGGUCGCAAGAUUAAAACUCAAAUGAAUUGACGGGGGCCCGCACAAGCGGUGGAGCAUGUGGUUUAAUUCGAUGCAACGCGAAGAACCUUACCUACUCUUGACAUCCAGAGAACUUUCCAGAGAUGGAUUGGUGCCUUCGGGAACUCUGAGACAGGUGCU
rnacentral:rRNA from 1 species